rnacentral:antisense_RNA from 15 species
AGAUGAUGAUCCCAAGCCUUCUGGGGAUCUAGACAAAAAAAGUCCACCGUGGGCUUUGAAAAACGCUUUCCUUGAUAAAAUUUAAGCGUUUUAUAAGAGGAUGCCGGGGAAGGUUUUCCGGUUUAUCCCGGAGGGCUUGUAGCUCAGUUGGUUAGAGCGCGCGCUUGAUAAGCGUGAGGUCGGAGGUUCAAGUCCUCCCAGGCCCACCAGUUUAUCCAUUACUUUCAUAAGUGCUUUUAAAAAAUAAGUACUUCUAAAAAGAUUGCUUCUAAAAAGCUUAUCAAAAUUGGCA